UGUCUCUCUUGAUUAUCAGUUGUUCUGUUGUUUGUAGAUAGGAUGGAUGAUACUACAAAGUCGAGGGCAUGAUUUUGAUGAUUUGAACUUAGAGUUUGCCCAAAUGCUGCAAGACAAUACUGAUCAAGCUGUAGAACUUUUUGGUAUGAUAGCUAUAUCUUUGCCAAAGCUGAUAUGGAGGAAGGAGGGAUUCUAUUGGAAGCCAUCUCUGUAUGAGAAAGCCUCUGGUCAACAUGUGAACUAUUCCAAAUCAUCUCUUUGUAGAUGAUAGCUAUAUAUAUAUCUUAGACUCAUGAGAAUAUUGGCUUCCAUGCUCCAUAUUAAAAAGGUUGAUAAACCUUUAGUUUAUUUGGGGACUUUUUCUAUGAUAAACAUAAGAAAGUGUCAUCUUUUUGACUACUUGACUGAUAGAG